rnacentral:rRNA from 1 species
GACGAACGCUGGCGGCGUGCCUAACACAUGCAAGUCGAGCGGAGGUACAAUGAGAGCAAUCGAGAUGUACUUUAGCGGCGGACGGGUGAGUAACGCGUGAGCAACCUGCCUAUCACAGGGGGAUAAGGCGGCGAAAGCCGCUCUAAUACCGCAUGAGACCCUCAAAGCGAUGCAAUGGGGGUGAAAGGAGCGAUCCGGUGAGAGAUGGGCUCGCGUCCGAUUAGGUAGUUGGUAGGGUAAGGGCCUACCAAGCCAAUGAUCGGUAGCCGGCCUGAGAGGGUGAACGGCCACAUUGGAACUGAGAGACGGUCCAAACUCCUACGGGAGGCAGCAGUGGGGAAUAUUGGACAAUGGGGGAAACCCUGAUCCAGCCAUGCCGCGUGUGUGAAGAAGGCCUUAGGGUUGUAAAGCACUUUCGGCUGUGAAGAUAAUGACAGUAGCAGAAGAAGAAGCUCCGGCUAAAUUCGUGCCAGCAGCCGCGGUAAU